CAGCAGCCGCGGGAACACGGAGGGGGCUAGCGUUGUUCGGAAUUACUGGGCGUAAAGCGCACGUAGGCGGCUUGGUAAGUUAGAGGUGAAAGCCCGGAGCUCAACUCCGGAAUUGCCUUUAAGACUGCCGAGCUAGUAGGUGAGAGAGGUAAGUGGAAUUCCGAGUGUAGAGGUGAAAUUCGUAGAUAUUCGCAGGAACACCAGUGGCGAAGGCGGCUAACUGGUCCAUAACUGACGCUGAGGUGCGAAAGCGUGGGGAGCAAACAGGAUUAGAUACCCCGGUAGUCCCUGUCUCUUAUAC
rnacentral:rRNA from 1 species